UUUGUAAUUUCCGUUAACAGUAAGAAACUAGAUUUCACUUGGUUGUGUCCAGUUUUAAUAGAAUGAUGGGUUUUAAUGAUCGUCAGUGGAAUUCCAGGGGUUAUAAAUAGCGACUGCUAUGGGUACGCACAGUACUUAUUAAUUAUGGUUGCAAAUAGACAAACGCACGAUUAGAUAAAUUGUCUGGGUAAUUUUCUGAGUAGGUGUUAUUAACAACGUAAGGGACUGUACAGGCGACAUUCUUACGAUUUACGAAAAUAGAUGACACCGCUGGUCAUAUGUAGCAUGGCCGACUUCAUUAAUAUACACUAACGUGUAUAUACGGCCGUUUCAAUUUUUGAUUUUCCAUUAGAAAAAAUGUUCCGCCGCCUAGUGCAUAUUGUGGCGCCCUCACACGACAGAUCUCGUGCUAUUUCUGUCAAAUUAAUUGUCAAGUUGAAACUGACAUUGACAACAAAUUUUACUCGAAGCAUAAAAAAAGAAGUUUGGUUCAGAUAAUAAUGUUUUUUUUUAAUUUUAUCACAAAACACAGUUUAAAAUUUAAUGCAAAUCUCUUGACAGAAUCUGUGGUCUCCAAGCAAAGAUUGCUGAGAACUGGCUUUACAGUCGUUUUGAUUAUAUAUUUGCACACAGAAUCCCUGUGAUUUGCACAGACGAAAAUAGGAUUUUGCACAAGAAAUGGCAACAUUUGCUGGAUGCUUUCAGCUAUCAGCUGAAUAAUACCAACAAAGAUAUCUUUGGGAUAGACUAAACCUCCUCGGUUUUGAAUGGCAAUCAAUUGUAGCAAAGGACCUGGAAUGCUAGUACAUAAUAGAGGUGUUAAACAUUCAUCACAAUGAAAUAAAUCUUCUAAUUUUUUUAUGAUGUAUCCUGCCAAGAAAGCUACUAUAUUAUUAUCACUUCUUAAGAUUGUGAAUAUUUCUUCGUACUUCAAUUGGAAAUAUGAGUUGUUCUGUGUGCUUAGUAAAGCUCUCUCUGUUUUCUUGUAAAUUUAAAAUAUUUGCAGGACUAAUAUAGUUAACAUUUUCAGCAGUGUUUGAGGAAUGGGAAGCUUUAACAAUCCCACAACGAAGAAUUUGCCUUAAUGCAUAAUCUGCAGCUCUGGCAUCUGUGGCAUCAUUAGAACCACCUUUCAGUCUUACAUGUGAAAACAUGGCCUCUACAGCGUCUGAGCUAAAGGAUCGCGUUACAACAUAAUAGAAGCCAACCUGGCUUAGCAAAAAUUUUAUAAAUUUUUAAAUCCAACGUCUACAGAAGUCUUCUGGAUAUCGUCAAUAUACUUUGGAAAUGUGACAUUUAACCAGUCAAGACGUUCAUCUGAAAUAUGCACAUAUGGUGCAAUACUGCUAUCUAGUGAACGAAGAUAGUGAUCUCUGCUUGAAACAUUAUGCACCUGAAAAAAAUGGUACAUGUUUUCCAUAUAGAAUAUAGAGGCAUCAGCGUCUACAAAGCGAUCGUCCCCUGGAGCUUUUAGAAAUUUUAAAGAAGAGGUUACAGUAGGUGAAAAAACUUGGAUUGCUCUUAGGACAUUCAUUUUUUCAAAGUUUGAUGGAAAUAGAUGCUUCUUUGUUAAAUAUCUGACAGGCUUUACUGGCAUUCCUUUCUGCAAAUCAUACAAUAAUUUGAGAGCAUGGCAGAAAUCGAAACUCAAAAAUAGUGGAAUAUGUUCCAGAAUGGGAUGAUUAAUGGAAUUUUUCAGUGAUCCGUUUCCAAAUUUUUUAAAGAGGGCGACAUUUGUUGAAAUAUUGUCUGUAACAAAUCUAAUCACAAUGUAGCCGCAGUUUGUCAGAAGUUGUAAAAUGUUUUUUGUUAAUAAAUAUAAUUCCUGAGUUGUUAACGACGAGUGGAAAAAAUAUCCUGCUGGUAUUGUAUAUCUAGUACUCAAUCCCUGCACCACAAAACAAAGCAUCUUGUUGGCUACUUUUGGCUUAGUUCCAACACGAGUAGAACUUGUUGUCUCUAGGCCAUAAAUUCGAUCUUCUGCCCUACAGUAAUGAACUUUUUCUUUUAUGGACAUGUCGUCCAUUAUUAAGGAGCAGAUCCUUUCAAC